ensembl:lincRNA
GUAGCUGCUGACAUCUAGAGUCCUCAAAACACACAGAAGUGGUUUGGGUUUUGUAUUCAGAGACUGUGUGCUGGGUCCACUUCUCAUUAGGCCAUGCUUGCUUAAGCUCUGUUUUAUAGCACAGUGAAUCAAACAGUCUCAGACAUUCCCUGCUAGUGUCCAACAUACUCCAGAGACACGACUGAGAAGAGCCCAGGGCACAUCUCCCCAGCCGCCUUCACCGCUUCUCGCUUGCCUUCCUUAGGGCAGGGAUUGGAUUCUAUCCAUCAGUAACCACCCAGCACUAACUGGGUCCUUGGUGUUCUUGUUGCUCAACAGUGAAUACACCUGACUGAACUGAAGGUGGGAGAGUUGGCUGGUUCCUCAGAAGGGCCUCUUUCAGUUAAAACGGCCCACCUGAACUAUGUCAUUCUGUCCAGUAUGAACUGUGUCACUCUGUGGCAAACACCGCACACCUGUACCUGAGCCAGACUCUUCAGAUCGGUAUCUUUCUGUGAGUUACGCACAGGAUGACGGUGAUUCUCACGUGUGUCUGACUGAUUUUACUCUCUCCAUCAGUACAUGGCAAUAAUUCCUUUGUUGGCUCCACUUUAGAGUAAACAAAAUAACUCAGCCCAUUUUCACAAUGGCACUCUGGCUGGCUCUACUGAGACAGACUCUUCACAUGCGGUGUCAGCCUUGAACACAUAAUCUUCCUGCUUCUACCUCUUGCUGUUGAGAUUACAGCCAUCGUGAUCUUUACUGUAUUUUGUUGUUGUUUUGAGACAAGGUCUUGUGAUGUAUCCUUGGCUGGCCUAGAACUGCCUGUGUAGAUCAGGCUAGCCUUGAACAAUGCAUAGAGAGCUGCCUGCUUUUGUAUCACCUUGCAAGACUCAACAUUUUUACUUUUUAAAUUUUUUUUUUAAAGAUUUAUUUAUUCUGAGUACACUGUAGCUGUCUUCAGAUGCACCAGAAGAGGGUGUCAGAUCUCAUUAUGGGUGGUUGUGAGCCACCAUGUGGUUGCUGGGAUUUGAACUCAGGACUUUCAGAAGGUCAGUCAGUGCUCUUAACCACUGAGCCAUCUCGCCAGCCCACAUUUUUACUUUUAACUUGAGUUAGUGUCACUAUAUAAUUCAGGAUGGCUUAGAACUCACGACCUCACCUUAGCCUCCCAUGGACUAGUAUUAUAGAUUAAUGACAUCAUACCUGUUUCUUGGGCCCUGACAUUCUAAUAGUUUUUUUAAAAAAAUCUUAAAGACUAACUUUCAAGCCAGGCUGGACAGCACACAUUUAUUUAUCUCAGCACUUUGGGAGUGGAGGGAGGGACACCGAGAGUUUAUGUCCAGCCUUGGCUACAUAGCAAGUGCAGGGCAGACCAGGCUAUAAAAGUCUCCAAUCUCAAAAGGCAAACAAACAAACAAAAGUACUAACUCUGCCUUAGGCUCUUUCUUUACUCAGAAGAUUGGCCUGAUGAAGCUCCUGACUUCACACCCCUGAACGGCAGGUGUGCAUCAGGGUGCCUGGUUUAUGGAGUUCUGAGGUCAAGCAGGGCCUGGUGCAUGUCAGGCAAGCAGCUUACGGCCGUACCCCAGUCCCCUCCCCCUUAUUUCUUUUUAACUUAUUGUUCUGAUACUUCUACAGUGCAUUCUUGAAAUAAAUAGGUAAUAAUCUCUUCUUCUUCCUCUGUAAAGAUAUUUGGCAGGUGUGAGCAGCCUGUAACAAGAUAUCUUGUGGAAUAGGUCCGGGGAGAAUGAAAACUGGUUUCUCUGUCCCUGUCUUUAAAGGAUACAAACCAGUGGCCUCCUGGCUGGAUUCAGACUGUAUCAAUUAUUAUUAUUUUUGUUUGAGACAAGAUCUCUCUAUUUAACCCAAGCUGUCUUGAAACUUACUAUAUAGACCAGGCAGGUCUUGAGCCUACAGAGAUCCAUCUGCCCUGCCCCCCCACCCCCCCAAGUGAUGAGGACACAUAGUCCUGACUUGCCACAUGGGACACUUUUUAAAAUAUUGAGUGAUUCUUUUACUUACUUUUGAAAUUGUUUAUUUAUUUUUAUUUUUUAAAUGUAUUUAUUCUUAUUUUAUGCACAUUGGUUUUUUUGUUUUGUUUUGUUUUGUUGUUUGCCUGCAUGCAUAUUUGUGUGAGGGUGUUGGAUCCUUGGAACUGGAAUUACAGACAGUUGUGACGGUUAUGUAUGUAGCUGGCCUGGAACUCACUGUGUAGACCGAGUUUGCUUCAAACUCACAGAAAUCUGCCUGCCUCUGCCUCUUAAGGUAUUAAAAAUAUGAGCUAUCAACCCC